UACGGGGGGGGCAAGCGUUGUUCGGAAUUCCUGGGCGUAAAGCGCCCGUAGUCGGCUUUGCAAGUCGGGUGUGAAAUCCCCGGGCUCAACCUGGGAACUGCAUCCGAGACUGCAUUGCUAGAGUAUGGGAGAGGGAAGCGGAAUUUCUGGUGUAGCAGUGAAAUGCGUAGAUAUCAGAAGGAACAUCAGUGGCGAAGGCGGCUUCCUGGACCAAUACUGACGAUCAGGUGCGAAAGCGUGGGGAGCAAACAGG
rnacentral:rRNA from 1 species